rnacentral:piRNA from 1 species
UCUGGUAGAUAUGUAGAAAAUUAAAAUGAUA